rnacentral:lncRNA from 1 species
AAUCAACAACAUUCAAAGCCUUAGGAUCACAAGUUCGGUUUCAUGCUUCCGAUAACCAACAUUCACUGAUUGAAAUACUUUGAGAGUCAAUAGUUUAGGCUCAACAAAAGAUAUUGUUUAGAAUCGCAACAUGAUAGGUCUUAAGUUAAGAAACAAAAGACAGAUACUGGCUAGUUCUGCAGCGGAAAUCAAAAUAAGGAGUUGAACUCUAGCCUCAGCUCUGCCCCGUCAUCACCAGCCAUUAACCUGAAAACAUUUGAAAGUAAUUUUGGGCUAAGUACUAAUGUACUUAGUGGGCUGCAACUUUUAAAGCAUUUCAUAAUCUGAAGAACAGUUUAUCCAAUCUUACUGACAUGACAUAGAAGGUUUUAAAGAGAAAUAACUUCUAUGCAUGUUAAACAUUUUCAUAUAUAUAUACUUAAUUAUUUUGCGCGCGUUUGCACACUCCAUUCUGUUACUCGCUGUGAUCCCGGACCUCUAGCCACCGACGGAUCUCUGUCUCCCGCUGACUUGAACUGAGGGCGUAACCCAGCCAAGUAUAAUAAACCUCGGAAAUUAAUCCAGACAGGCCUAUCAUUACUAUGCUCCGGAACACAUCCCGUCGAGCACCCUUAUAACGCCUCUGGUUAGUGCCCGAUGGAGAUCAACCACCGAGUCAGCUAACAAGUGUACACAAUUCUCAAACAACGUGUUAGGUCAUAAGAGAACCUCAAUUGAUUAACUGUACGAGCCUUAAACAUGGUAGAGUGCACAAAAAUAUUUUAUUGGAUAAACAGUUUAUAUUACACGAAUAUUUAAGCUCAAUAGCUAAAUCAUACAUUUGAAAAAUAAGCCCACCUGUCUAGGCAAAGCCUGUCGUUUAACCUUAUCUCUGAAUCGGAAUAGCAGUGCUAAUCCUCCUGAUGCUCAAAGCCUACAAGAAAUCUAUUCUUAAUAGGUCUCCUUGAAUUCUAAUCUUAAGUCAUGGUGAAGUGCUUAAUAUUCUAUGAUUCACUUAGCCGGGUUUUCAAAAUUUAAUGAAUAAAUAAUUGAAAACAUUUCUCUUGAGUUAAGAACACCAACAAUAUUCUUACUCAUCUUUCUUUAAUAAUUGGAAUUAUAAAUAAAACCAAUUAAAUCAUAAAUACUCUUUUUGCAAAAUAUAAUGCAAUUUCAUGUCAUGCUUAGCAUAUAAUAAGUAAUUACUUAAAAUAUGCUUAUAAUAAUAAUUUAAUAUUAUUAUAAAAAUUUACUCUUUGAAAAUAAUUAAUUAAACUUAAUAAGUCUAAUUAAUUAUAAUAGUGUAGCUCCUUUAAAUAAAAUAUGCACAAAUCCAAUUAAAUAAAUACUUGGGCAGCCCAUGAUUUAAAAUAAUCAAAGGCCCAACUUAAUAAAAGAAAAUCGGCCCAAAAUUAAGAAAUAACUCAGCCCAUUUAAUUAAAAAUCUCGGCCCAAGUACUCAUAAAAUCGUCCCAUAACUAAAUUAAAUAAACUGAGCCCAUUACUGACUUGGCCCAAAGACUCAAGCCCAACUAGAAAAAAAUAAAAUAAAAAAAAAAUAAAAAAAAAAAACGGACCCAACUCGGCCCAAAUUCUAACAAAAUUUUCAGCCCAACACUAUUAAAAACCCGGCCCAAAUUUAAAGCCCAACCCCUAACCCAAACCUAAAGCCCAACACCCCCACCACCCUUUUUCUUCCUCCCCAGCCGCACACACACACACAUACUAUCACAUCUCACUCUCUUCUCCCUCUCUCGGCUCCCUCUUCCCUCAUCUCUCGCUCCCUUCUCUCUCAGCCAUCAGUCCCGCCACCGCGCAUCCUUCCGGCGAGGCAGCCGUCGACCGGCAGCCGCAUCAACCGAAAAGACCAGCCGCCUUCCUCGGCCCCUCUCUCUUCGGCUGGUAACAGCCGCCCACCGUGGAGCUCGCCGGAGGAGCAGCAGCGACGAGCUGCCGCCACCAGCUCUCUCUCUCUCUGACAGUGGCCGAGAGACAGCAGCCAAGGCCACCGAGUUCUAGCCUCCCUCUGAAAGCUCAACCCCCGCGGUUCUACCUCCGGCGAUAGCAGCCCCAGCCGCCACCGCUCCUCCCUCUCAAACUCCGAUCCUCCCUCUGGAACUCCGGCGAUAGCAGCGAGAAGCCACUACCGCCGCCGACUUCGACUCUCUCUGGAUCGACGGGCAGCAGGAGCAUCAAGCCACCGCCGCCGUCGUCCUCUCCUUCCCCACUCUUCACCGUAGCUAGGCAGCAACGGCAGAGCCGCAGCGCCUGGCUUCCCUCUCGGACUUCUUCCGAUAAGCAGCAGCAGAAGCCGCCCGCCGGAGCCCUAGGCUCGGCCUCCCCUGACUCUCUUCUCAAACCCUCGCCGGAGCAACGGCGAUGAGCCGCCUCACAGCCCCCGACCUUCUAUCUUUCCAGCCAGACCGACAGUGGCGCCGAGCCACCGCCGUCGACCUUCCAGCCCAAAAUCGACAGAUGUAAACAAAGCUCAAACUUUUCUUUCUUCUUUUGUAAAUCAUGCUUUGAAUGUAAAUAUAUAUGACAGUGUAUGAAUAUGCACCGAAAUGAUGAGAUGAAAGUAUGUGUGUGAUUCUUGCUUGCAGUGAAGAUCUUUAUACAAAAUGAAGUGGGUUUCUUAAUCAAACUGUGAAAUGAAAAUAAGCAAGAAUUAAAAGAUGAAACCUUUGAAUGUUUAGUGGGGAAAGUCCUCAAGCUGAAAGCUUCGUGUGAUCUUCAAGAGUUUUUGAUUUGAGUUUGCUGAAAUUUAAGGUGUGUUGUUGCUGGAUUGGUGAGGGGAAUGGUUGCUCUCUGUUUCAGUUUUCCUUCACGAAUGAGUGGUGAAGGAAAAGUCUUGAUUGAAUUGGGAGAAGUUGAAUUGGCAGAGAAAUUUGGGGCAUUUGAUUUCCUCUGCGCGUGACAUAAAGCCUGAAUUUUGGGCUUGAUUGGAGGAAUGAGGUGGCCAUGGUGUAAAGUGGAGUGUAGGGUUGGUGUGAAUGAAUUUGCAGGGAAAGUGUCGUGGGUGGAAAAUAAAGAGUGUGAGUGGAAAUAGGUGGGUGGGUGGAAGACAAAAGUAACAUGUGAG